AGUAGAGCAUUAAAUUUAUAAAUCAUAAAGAGAUAAAGUAAUAUCCUAUUUGAUACAUCUUGAGGAACCAGAAUGGUUAAAAUUGUCAAAUUUGCUCAUGUUAUAAUUAUCUUUCUCACUUUAUAUCUUGUCGCAGUGAAAGCAAAAUUGGAGGGUGAUGAUUGUCUUGCUAAUGUUGAUUGUGAAUGCGACCAUCCAUUGAUACCUGAGUGUAUUUUUAACUUGUGUAAGUGUAUUUUGUUAGAAGUAACUCAUAUUCAGAAACAGUAUUGUUAAUCAAAAGUCAAAGUUUCUAAGGUGGUUGUUUCAAAAAUUAUGCUUAGUUUAUGGGUUUUAGUUUUGUUUUGUUAGCUUGUUUUAGCAAUGUUUGCGUGGCAUAGUUUACUUACGUGUCAUUUUGAUGUUGGUGUAUUUAAACACUUUGGUGUAACUAGUUUUACAGAGUGAUUAGUGAUAAGAGACUCCCACUCCAAGAGUUUGUUACAACCGUAUUUUCUCUCUUAUCACUCUAUCUCUCCCUUCUUUCAUCUUUAUCUUCAUCUUCAACCUUGUGCUUCAACAAUUAGUAUCUAGAGCUUCGGUUCGAUUCACAGAGAAACACGAGUGUACGUGAAAUGUGUGAGAUUGAUUUUGUUUCUUGAAUUUGCUUUGAAUUCAUUAUCAAAAUCGUGACAGAAUUUCAUUUCUUAAUUUUACGGGAUCGAGAAACACGAGCGUUUGGUGAAAUCUGAGAUCUGAGCUAGUUUUUCAGUGCACAAGAACGAAGAUGAACAGCGGAAACAAUUUGAAUACAAAGCUCCAGUGUUUAAUGGAAAGAAUUGGAAUUUAUUCAUGCUUCAAAUGCGUGUAUUGUCCGGUGCUCAAGACAUUCUUGAUCUCGUAAAUGACAGUUACCUUACAGUUGCAGCGGAUGCGACAAAGGAGUACAAAAACGCGCAAAGUGAUAUGAUGUAGAAAGAUCAUAAGGCGUUGUUAUACAUCCAUCACUGUGUUGAAUGCGUUGUUCUACAUGCACCAUGAGAAUUGAAGAGCUGCAAAAUACUCUAGAGGCACAAGAGUUGCGUUUGAUUGAGAGAACCUCUAAAAGAGAGGUAGAUCAGGCUCUAAAGACAUCUUAUGAUAAAAUUGUCAAGUUUGUUCGUGUUAUGAUUAUCAUUCUCUCUUUAUAUCUUGACGCAAUGAAAGAAAUAUCGCAGGGUGAUAAGUGUUUUGCUAGUAUUGAUUGUUAAUGUGACCCUUCAUUGAUACCUGUGUGUAUUUUUAACUUAUGCAAGUGUAUUUUGUUAGAAGUAACUCAGAUUCAGAAGAAGUAUUGUUAGUGUCACGGAAAAAAAAAUUGAGAUUAAACUAUUGAUUAACUUAACUCGCAAAACAAGAGUCACCAUUGUUUCCAAAGGAAAGGGAAAAUAUCAAUAAAACCCAAAAAGAAAAGAUUAGGAUACGAGGGUUGGUUAUGCAAGGGAAAGAUAUUAGCACCCCUCACAUCUGUGAUACUCUAUAGGAGCCUUUUGAAAAUCUACGUUUUUAGGCUAAAGAUUGAUGAAAUGAGAAAAUAAGUGUUUUAUUUUUUUGUGCUCGUCAAGAUGUCGCAUAUUUUUCAUAUUAAUCUCAGUAACUCUUCAGCAUCUUCAUUUCUAUACUCAUCAUACUGGAUAGAAAUCAUUGGUCUUCGAUUGUCCACUAUGAUAUCCUUUCCACGAGCUCUCUUCUCUAUAACAACAUAAUCGUCUUUGUGGAGAGGUGUGGGAGUAAACACAUGCCCACUUCUGGUCAAACCUAGCAUCAACAAUAUUUUCAACAUAUUGAGAGGGUUCAAACACAAUUUCCUUACCUUCCUCCAUCACAAUAGCAUUGUACCUCCAAGGAAUAGUUAUGUUUGAAGCAUAAGGAAAAGGUCUUGGCACACCAAUCACCAAAGGAGUUACAACAUUUUGUUUGAUAUAAUAAGUAAUUUCCACCUGUUCAGGAACAUCAAAGUAAGGAAUGAUAUUAGUUACAUCA